AGGUGAUGUUUAAAAAGUGACCAGCAUUGAUGGACCCCAGCACCAGCAAAAACAUUUUCCUCGGAGAUUUCACUUACUAGUUCCCUGAGUAACCUGAAAUGUGCUUUUCUCAUGUCCAUUUUGUUGCAAGUACUUACAAACUGCAGCCUACCAGGGAUAUUUUCAGCAGGGAUCUGCACACAGGCAGCAAGCUACGCGCAAACGGCUGAGCACUUUCCAGAAACUGCAUAACAUAUUUCAAGAGUAUGCUCCGCUUGCUCUCAGAGAGGAAGCAUCCACUGAGCUUCUGGAGACAGGCUACUGAAUAGGAGAUAAAGCACCUGAUGAAGAAUAUGGCUGCAUACCACCUUUGGAGAAAGGGGCAGAGUGAAGAGGCACAAGCUCUUAGAAAAUAAUACCAGUUAACAUAAGUGAGAAGGUAAUAGGUGUUUGAAAGCAUAGUCAGCCUAAGGAACUUAGUUUCAGCUAUAAAAAAUUGAAUGGAAGAAGGUAAUUUUUAUAUUCAUCACGUAAUUCCAUUUAAAAUCUGUGCCUAAUUUAGUAAAAAGGAAAACUAGAACUAGAUUUGCAGCACAUUUUAUGUAUCUUUAUAUGCAGAUUUACUUUGGCUGUAAAGCUCAAGGAGGAGCUUUACCAAAUGGCAAGCAUACUAACAUGACCCUAACUCAAAACAACUUUUUCUUACUGAGUUUUUGAA